AAUGAACGCUGGCGGCGUGCUUAAGACAUGCAAGUCGUACGCGAAAGCCCGCAAGGGUAAGUAGAGUGGCGCACGGGUGAGUAAUAUUUAGGUAACACACCUUCUCGCUGUGGAUAACCAGACGAAAGUUUGGCUAAUACAGAAUAGUCCGUUUGGAACUGUGGUUCCGACCGGUAAAGCCGUAAGGCGCGAGAAGUCUGGCCUAAAUCCCAUUAGCUAGUUGGUAGGGUAAUGGCCUACCAAGGCUACGAUGGGUAACUGGUCUGAGAGGAUGAUCAGUCACACUGGAACUGGAACACGGUCCAGACUCCUACGGGAGGCAGCAGUUAGGAAUUUUGCGCAAUGGCCGAAAGGCUGACGCAGCAACGCCGC
rnacentral:rRNA from 1 species